rnacentral:rRNA from 1 species
AGUCGAGCGAACAGACGAGGAGCUUGCUCCUCUGACGUUAGCGGCGGACGGGUGAGUAGCACGUGGAUAACCUACCUAUAAGACUGGGAUAGCUUCGGGAAACCGGAGCUAAUACCGGAUAAUAUAUUGAACCGCAUGGUCCAAUAGUGAAAGACGGUUUUGCUGUCACUUAUAGAUGGAUCCGCGCCGCAUUAGCUAGUUGGUAAGGUAACGGCUUACCAAGACAACGAUGCGUAGCCGACUUGAGAGGGUGAUCGGCCACACUGGAACUGAGACACGGUCCAGACUCCUACGGGAGGCAGCAGUAGGGAAUCUUCCGCAAUGGGCGAAAGCCUGACGGAGCAACGCCGCGUGAGUGAUGAAGGUCUUCGGAUCGUAAAACUCUGCUACUAGGGAAGAACAAAUGUGUAAGUAACUAUGCACGUCUUGACGGUACCUAAUCAGAAAGCCACGGCUAACUACGUGCCAGCAGCCGCGGUAAUACGUAGGUGGCAAGCGUUAUCCGGAAUUAUUGGGCGUAAAGCGCGCGUAGGUGGUUUUUUAAGUCUGAUAUGAAAGCCCACGGCUCAACCGUGGAGGGUCAUUGGAAACUGGAAAACUUGAGUGCAGAAGAAGAAAGUGGAAUUCCAUGUGUAGCGGUGAAAUGCGCAGAGAUAUGGAGGAACACCAGUGGCGAAGGCGACUUUCUGGUCUGUAACUGACGCUGAUGUGCGAAAG